rnacentral:lncRNA from 1 species
GGAAUGGGCACCUCUUUCCUUCCUAUCCCCAAACCCACAUUGCAUCCAUUACUAAACCCAGCCUUUUCUAUCCCUGGGAGAGCCCACAAAUGCCUCCGUUUCUUGCUCCCCAUCUCUCUAAUCCAAGCUACCGUCCUUUCUUUCAUUUAUUACUGCAUUAUUCUACUUAACUGAGCUCCCCAAUCCUCUCAAACAUUCCACAAUCCAAAGGUUUACAUUUGAAAUUGGAGUGAUUUUUUUCCCAUGCAAAUCUUAUCAUAUCAUCCUUCAACUAAAAAUUUUUCAUGGUUUUCCACUGCCCCCAAAUAAACACCUUUAAAUGCCUAGCAAGGCUUUGGUAGGACAACCAGGACCAGGCUUUAAUGCUGCAUUGACCCUACCCUGUGACUCUUAACUGGGUGUCGAUUUUGCACUCCAGGGCAUGUUUGGCAAUUUUUGCACAGUUUUGAUUGCCAUGGUCAAGAAUAUGCUACUGGUUUCUAUUCUGUAGAGGCCAGGGAUACCGCUAAAUAUUCUGCAUUACUCAGGACAGUUUUCUCACAACAAAGGAUUACUUGGCCCAAAAUGUCAAUGGUGCCGAAGCUGGUAAACCCUGAAAUCACCUUAGCUCAUGGCCUUUUCCCUUUCGCUCCUUGAUUUCAGUUGUUUGCUACCUUUUUCACUUCCAAGAAUUCACCAUACUUAAUCACAUCUUUAAUUCUAUAUGGUAUUUCUUUUUCCUGGAAUAACUGACACAUUUUUCUCUCUGACUCCUAACCCUUGAUUUGACCAACUCCCCUUAUCCUUACUUUUUGGCUUAGUUACUCACUCAGGGAAGCUUUUCCUAAAACAUCAUAGUAGAGGUGUUUUCUUUGCCACAUGUUUUCAGAGAACUCAGUAUCUUUCCUCAUAAUCACAACUGACAGUUUUCCCAUAAUUAUAUAAAUUCUUUGAGGGUAGAGGCCAUGUUUGUCUCAUUUGCCUGAACUCCAAAGCUUAAUGUAUUGUAAUAUGUCCUUAAGAGUCUCUCUCUCAUAUAUAUAUAUAUAUAUAUAUCUAUGCAAUAUAUAUUUGAAGUAUUAUUUCAAAUAGCCUCAUUGUGGAGAUUAAGAAGUCUGAAUCUAUCCUUAUGACGUUUUUGUACCAGUAAAAGUUUUCAACAAUCCAUAAUCAGGUCCGAUGUGAAAUCAAAGAGAGAUGAAAAAAUUUCUCUCUUGGAGUUGCAACAAAUUGGUUUGACAUUUGAUAUGUUUAGCCUAGAAAAACAUAUUCCUCUCCCAGAUCCAAAUACAAUUGGAUUUGUAGAUACCCAUUUCUACCAACAUCUCUUUAUUUAUUUUUUGGCCACACCUAUGUCAUGUGGAAGUUUCUGGGCCAUGAAUCCAAGCCAGAGCUGUGACCUGCCAGAUCCUCUAACCCACUGCACCAGAAUCAAAUCUGCAUCUCUUCAGUGACCCAAGACACUGCAGUCAGAUUCUUAACCCACUGUGCCACAGCAGGAACCCUUACCGUCAACACUUUAAAAGGGCAAAGUUGGAUUUCCUUUGAUUCCCUUGAUAUGAGUUUUUCAUUAUAUUUUAUAUUUACCCAUUUUCUCUCUUUGGAGAAAAAUACCAUCUUCCCAGUGCAGGGGGAUCAAUGAGGACUUUUAUACAAUUUCUUAGAGACAGGAAGAUUUUGUUGUUUCCACCAGCCACUAGUUUCCUCAAAAUUCCAGAUACAGAGUAGGUGGCAUUUGAAUAUCUUGAUCACAAAGGAAUGGCCCACCUGGUUGAAAUGAAAGGAAAAUGGCUGUCCUGUAGCUUUCAUGGACAGAAAUUCAACUCACAGAGCCACUCAUUCAGCUGCAGACAACACCACAAUGAUGUAUUUUUGGAUGUAUUCCAUUGCCAUUGGAAUGAUCAGCAACACUCCUGACACUGGGCAUAAGGUACUGAAGCAGGAAUGACAUGGGUUUCUUUUGAAAAGGAGACAGUGCACAGAACCACACAGGAAAUGUCAUGCCUUGGCUACAUGUGAAGGAGAAAUGUUCUCCUGGGCAGGAAGAGUUUUGUACCUGCUAAGGGGAUAUUUAUACUCUUACUGCAAAGAGAAAGAAGGCAACUUAUAG